GAUGAACGCUGGCGGCGUGCUUAACACAUGCAAGUCGAACGAAGCACUUUAUUUGAUUUCCUUCGGGACUGAUUAUUUUGUGACUGAGUGGCGGACGGGUGAGUAACGCGUGGGUAACCUGCCUUGUACAGGGGGAUAACAGUUGGAAACGGCUGCUAAUACCGCAUAAGCGCACGGCAUCGCAUGAUGCAGUGUGAAAAACUCCGGUGGUAUAAGAUGGACCCGCGUUGGAUUAGCUAGUUGGUGAGGUAACGGCCCACCAAGGCGACGAUCCAUAGCCGACCUGAGAGGGUGACCGGCCACAUUGGGACUGAGACACGGCCCAAACUCCUACGGGAGACAGCAGUGGGGAAUAUUGCACAAUGGGCGAAAGCCUGAUGCAGCGACGCCGCGUGAGCGAAGAAGUAUUUCGGUAUGUAAAGCUCUAUCAGCAGGGAAGAUAAUGACGGUACCUGACUAAGAAGCACCGGCUAAAUACGUG
rnacentral:rRNA from 1 species